AUUGAUCAAGGUGCUAUCGAUAUGGACUCUCAAAGUGGACAUGGUCAAAUCUCGGUCGGAGAGCUGAUCACAUUGACAUGCACUGCUAAUGGACCUAGUUAUCUUCGGACAGUCUGGACAUACACCAAUAAGACGUCCUCCAAGGUACAAAGAUAUACUAAUAAAAUCAAUAUCAUAGACUUCAGUCCAACGAAAGCCUUCAAUUGUAAUGGGUGCAGGACUCAUUUCCAUAUGACAAGACUGAAAUUUAAUCUGGGCACAUCCGAUGACGGCACGACCUUUUACUGUUCCGUCUUUAAAAAUGACACUCUGAAAAGCAAGGCUCACUUUAAAUUAGAGUCUAUAAAGUCUACAUAAUCAAAUAUUGGAAUUCCAAUACAAAAUUUGAUUUGUUUUGGCUUAUGUUGAAAUGGUAUAUAAAUGUACUUUUAUGCCC
rnacentral:sRNA from 1 species